GCUCAACACUAGCAGUUACGAGCGGAAGGUCUUCGGGGUACACGAGCGGCGAACGGGUGAGUAACACGUGGGUGAUCUGCCCUGCACUUCGGGAUAAGCCUGGGAAACUGGGUCUAAUACCGGAUAUGACCUCAGGUUGCAUGACUUGGGGUGGAAAGAUUUAUCGGUGCAGGAUGGGCCCGCGGCCUAUCAGCUUGUUGGUGGGGUAAUGGCCUACCAAGGCGACGACGGGUAGCCGACCUGAGAGGGUGACCGGCCACACUGGGACUGAGACACGGCCCAGACUCCUACGGGAGGCAGCAGUGGGGAAUAUUGCACAAUGGGCGAAAGCCUGAUGCAGCGACGCCGCGUGAGGGAUGACGGCCUUCGGGUUGUAAACCUCUUUCAGCAGGGACGAAGCGCAAGUGACGGUACCUGCAGAAGAAGCACCGGCUAACUACGUGCCAGCAGCCGCGGUAAUACGUAGGGUGCAAGCGUUGUCCGGAAUUACUGGGCGUAAAGAGUUCGUAGGCGGUUUGUCGCGUCGUUUGUGAAAACCAGCAGCUCAACUGCUGGCUUGCAGGCGAUACGGGCAGACUUGAGUACUGCAGGGGAGACUGGAAUUCCUGGUGUAGCGGUGAAAUGCGCAGAUAUCAGGAGGAACACCGGUGGCGAAGGCGGGUCUCUGGGCAGUAACUGACGCUGAGGAACGAAAGCGUGGGUAGCGAACAGGAUUAGAUACCCUGGUAGUCCACGCCGUAAACGGUGGGCGCUAGGUGUGGGUUCCUUCCACGGAAUCCGUGCCGUAGCUAACGCAUUAAGCGCCCCGCCUGGGGAGUACGGCCGCAAGGCU
rnacentral:rRNA from 1 species